CCCCCAAGUCCUGCAAGCCGCAGGAGUCGGCCGCCAGCCCUGUUGGUUAUGCACCCGUGACUUGAGCACCUAUUCACCAGUCUUUUGCGUACUACUGUCCUGGGGUUCGCCCGCCAUCUAGGACCUACUCAAAACCUUUUUGUAAUAGCAAUAUGCGUCAUGAAAAACCAAUAAUCAAUA
rnacentral:misc_RNA from 1 species